rnacentral:rRNA from 1 species
AGUGUCUAAGAUAAGCCAUGCACGUCUAGUACAAACUAAAUGAUGGUGAAACUGCAAAUGGCUCAUUACAACGGUUAUGAUGUACCCGGGAGUUCCGAUGGAUAUUUCCAGUAACACUAGAACUAAUACAUGUCCCUGCGUUUAUUAGUUUCGCACAGUCCGUCGCUGAGUCAUGGUAAACAGUUGAUCGACUCGACGUCCCGGAACAGUUUCCGCCCCAUCAGCUUCGAUGGUUGGGUAUUGGCCUACCAUUGCAACAACGGGUAACGAGGAAUUAGGGUUUGAUUUCGGAGAGGGAGCCUGAGAAACGGCUACCACAUCUACGGAUGGCAGCAGGCGCGCAAAUUACCCAAUGCAGACACUGUGAGGUAGUGACGAGAAAUAAUAAAGCGGGACUUCUGUUUCGCUAUUAUAAUGAGGAAUAACCAAAGGUCAUUCCGAUUAGCAACUGAUGGGAAAGUCUGGUGCCAGCAGCCGCGGUAAUACCAGCGUCAGUAGCA